UCGUGCCCCCAAUACCAUAAAUCAUCCCCCAACCCUUCAACACCACUGAACUAUUUUAUAAACAUAUAAAAGCUAUUAUGCUAGAACUAGUAACAAGAAAUAGACUUUCUCCUCAAUGCACGCUUGAACCUAAUCGGACCACCCAUUGGCAAUUAACGUUAAUGUAAAAAUUAUAGCAUAUUCAGCUAGCAAACCCUAUUACACCUCAACGUCUACCUAACACCAGAGCAUUAAAGAAAAGAUUAAAAAAGAAAGAAGGAACUCGGCAAAUACUAGCCCCGCCUGUUUACCAAAAACAUCGCCUCUUGCCCAAAUAUAAGAGGUCCAGCCUGCCCAGUGAUAUAAUUUAACGGCCGCGGUACCCUAACCGUGCGAAGGUAGCAUAAUCACUUGUUCUCUAAAUAAGGACUAGUAUCAACGGCAUCACGAGGGCUAUACUGUCUCCUUUCUUAAAUCAGUGAAACUGAUUCUCCCGUGAAGAAGCGGGAAUACCCCUAUAAGACGAGAAGACCCCAUGGAGCUUUAAACUCACGCACACCCCCUGAGUACCUCAACCCCCGGGACCAAUUUAAAUUGUGCGCUAGUUUUGGGUUGGGGAGACCGCGGAGUAAAACUUAACCUCCACAACAAACGGAUUAACACCCUUAUCUAAGAACCACACCUCUAAGAAUCAACAAACUGAUGUCCCAUGACCCAUUUUAUGAUCAAUGAACCAAGUUACCCUGGGGAUAACAGCGCAAUCUACUUCGAGAGCCCAUAUCGACAAGUAGGUUUACGACCUCGAUGUUGGAUCAGGGUAUCCCAGUGGUGCAGCCGCUACUAAAGGUUCGUUUGUUCAACGAUUAAAACCUAC
rnacentral:rRNA from 1 species